ACUCUGUCUUCGUGCUGGAUUUAGCAGCUUCAUAAUUCCACACCUCUGUCAACGAGACCCUCAUUAUGCAGGCUUCUAAACAUUUUACUUGGGGAAAGAAUAAACAACAUAUUUAGUACUAAUGAGCGAGCAGCUCUUGCAGACAACCAGCUACUUGCACGGCACAGUUUGUCACAUGUUCUGGGUGUGUGGCCUCAGGAUUGCAGUAAAAUGGAGCACCCGUCUUCCACUCACUAUGGUUGCUAUACAGAUACCUUUUCUGCAUCUACACGUGGAGUCUGAAGACCUGGAUCAGAUGCUGGUUCUAUCACUCACCAGUCUAUGAAAGAGAGUUCUGUCCUACUGACGCCAAAGAAGUGAGGUCUAUUGGAGGCCGCUUAGCAAGUCCUAAGAUACCUUCUGCAUCCUGGGUACUGUAUUCACUCGUGGAGAUGGAAAAAAUAAGAUACUGUUUAAUGAAAA